UACAGAGGGUGCAAGCGUUGUUCGGAAUUAUUGGGCGUAAAGCGCGUGUAGGCGGCCAGAUAGGUCUGCUGUGAAAACUCGAGGCUCAACCUCGAGCUGUCGGCGGAAACCAUCCGGCUAGAGUCCGGAAGAGGAGAGUGGAAUUCCCGGUGUAGCGGUGAAAUGCGCAGAGUAUCGGGAAGAACACCUGUGGGCGAAGGCGGCUCUCUGGGACGGUAC
rnacentral:rRNA from 1 species